rnacentral:rRNA from 1 species
CCCUAUGGGGUGCAGCAGGUUUUCGGGGUCCGUGCGCAGCGCCUGGGCUGCGACAUCUUUCAUCUUGCGCAGCAUCUCGCGGCUGGCUUUGAUCACCGCGUUCCCACCCAUGAAGGUGAACUUGGACGCAACAGUGUUCCAGUCGUAUGGAUUAGCGCGGGUGUCAAUCUCGGCUGAGAUCUCGAUGUGCUCGAUUGGGAUGUCAAGCUCCUGGGCUGCAAUCUGUGCCAGGGCGGUGAUGGCGCCCUGACCGAAGUCGACAGCACCGAUCAUCAUCUUUACGUGUCCAUCGCCAUUCAUCUGCAUAAUGACCGAUGAGGCGGUAUUGGCGGGCAGGGCGGGGGGGC